UACGUAGGGGACGAGCGUUGUCCGGAAUUACUGGGCGUAAAGGGCGCGCAGGCUGCGCGUCGAGUCGGCUGUUAAAGAUCCGGGCUUAACCCGGUGAAGCGGUCGAGACCGACGAGCUGGAGUGCUGCAGAGGCAAGUGGAAUUCCCGGUGUAGCGGUGAAAUGCGUAGAUAUCGGGAAGAACACCGGUGGCGAAGGCGACUUGCUGGGCAGCAACUGACGCUGAGGCGCGAAAGCCAGGGGAGCAAACGGGAUUAGAUACCC
rnacentral:rRNA from 1 species